GACACGCUGCCUUGGAGGUGAGGCUGGCGGGAGCAUCUUGCGGGACUGAGGAAAAUCUCCUCAGCUAAGCUCAUGCUGCCAGCAGCCCAGUGCAUAGAGCCAUUCACAGGCCUUGGUGUGCUGCAGGAGGAGGGUGUUGAUCUGUUGGAGUGUUCCUUGCCGUAGGAGGGCCUCUCUGUCUGGCAGCCAGUGGCAGGGAAGGCAGCACGUGGAGCUGGAGGUUGUGCCUGCUGCAGCUCUGCUCAGCUGAGCCACGUAGGUCCCUGUUCCUGAGGAAAGUUGCUGUGCUUAACUGUCUGUUCUCUUGCAGGUGUAUCUUUCAUAACUUCUUGAGCAAUAACCGUUAGUUAUCCUAGCAGUGGUCUGAGACUGCAGCACGUGGCCCCUGCCACGAAAUGGCGGCUGACACAAAAUGGUGGAUCCCAGUGCACGCAAGGGGACAGACUUCCUGUUCAAGUCACCACUUGGAGAGCUGGAGGUGUGGGCUGGUUGAGGCAGCCACUCCCACCAGAGUAGGUGUGGGCAGGAGGGAGGAGUUCUGGGACACGCUGCCUUGGAGGUGAGGUAUACAGGGAGUUGCUGUCAUCUGUGAGGGUUACGUAGGUAUUGGUGGCUGGAAAGUUCUGUUUUGUGACCUGCCCAUACUUCUGACGGGGUGAUGCAGAGCUGUGUUGUCUGAAUAUCUUACUUGGCAGUGAGGGUGGUUAUGCCAAUGAGUUUCAAGGUGGACCUGACAAACAUCUCUUCUGUUGCUGCACGCCAGUCCUGUGUCUGCUGCCUGCUGACCUGCUGUGCCUCCAGACCAUCAUGGCCAGAGUUGAUGAGCACAGGAACAUCUCAGUGCUCUGACUGAUCCUGGGGGCAUCAGAGUGGCCUCCCUGACUGGAGCUGGCACUCCUCUGAUGCCCCAAACAUUUGGCCCUACUCCUGCAGCCUUGCAAGGCCUGCCUGGCUGUCAUUCACAGUCUUUAUUGUGUGCUCCACUGGCUCACAGUACUGAUACAUUCAUCUGCUGAGCACUUGUAGGUUUGCACAUAGGUAGGUACUUAUGUUAUAAGUGCAUAGACAUCUUUAGACCUAUAUCUUACAUACAUAGAUAAAUGUCUAUGAAGUAGUGUGUGUUUUUACAUAUGUUUGCAUAUAUUUCAUAUAUGAAUAUCUACAUUUAUAGAUAUGUGUACAACAGAUAUCAUUAGUGGGUAUUUACACAAGUUAGCGCUUCCAGACACACAGGCAGGGAGGGUGGCCCCAAUCAGAGGGUGAGUGAAGGUCAUGUGGCUGUCACUGCGCACAGCCAAUCAGAAGGCACUGUGAAAACAGCGCCCACUCCCUGCCACGAAAUGGCGGCUGACACAAAAUGGCGGCUCCCAGUGCACGCAAGGGGACGGACUUCCUGUUCAAUGGACCACUGGGAGAGCUGGAGGUGUGGGCUGGUUCUGGCAGCCAAUCCCACCAGGGAAUAAUCCUUUGGUCAAGUGAGUUGGAUCACGAGAAAGCAGAAAGCAGAAAGGGAGCUCCCAUUUGCAAUGGAAGUAGACUGAACAUAACAGAAGGAUGUCUUUAGCUCUACAAUUUGCAACUGAUUAUGAAGCACACAAGGAUUUCAUUUCCUGUAACAUCACCCAUAAAUCACUGCAUCUUACCAGGAUUAAUUUAUCCAAAUAAUGAUCAGAGACUUCUACAGGCUGCACUCAGGCGACAAGCAGCUUUCAGCUGUACAGGAGAGAACCCUGCAGGCCUUGGCAUCUCUAGAGAGUCCUAAAAAUAAAUGUUGAAGUGGAGUGUCUGGGAAGAUUGAUGUACCUGCUGCAGCAAUAUCAAAUAAUGCAUUUACUGUACAAGGUCCUGCCUGCCCAGAAGGCUGAUCUUGACUUACUGUUGCACCUACAUUAAAUUCAGGCUUUUCAUAAGAAGGCCAGAAAACAUUCUGAAAAUCUUUUACUGUUUAAGUAUUGAAAAAAAAAUGCAGGUAGAGACAAGUAGUGCUUUGUGCUGUUACGAUGCAAAUAUUGUAUUGUCAGAGAAGUAGGUAACUACCUUGCUGUUAAACCUUAAAAUACAAAUUCGGAAGCUUUUGCUAAUUCAUCCUUUGUGACUCAUUCUGCAGAGUUCUCAACACUGAUUACUUAGACAUCCUGAGACCAGCCGUGCUUCAUAUAUGUCCUUUGCAAAGUGUUCUACUGAAAUUGCUUACUCCCUAAUUAUUCUAAUCAGAUGACAAUUUCCUGAAUGGCAUUGUUGAAUACCUUGGCUUGUUCAUUCACUUUUGUUGCCCAGUGUAACUGCCAUUGCAAUAUGAUGAAUUUUUUUCUUUCCGCUCAAGACUUUUAUGUUUCAUUUCAUGUUUGUAUUACUGAUUUGGAGUCAGCUCUGUCAUUACUGACAGACAUUCAUGUGACUUUUUCCAAGUGAUUUCCAAGCAAAACAUUCUGUGAAGAAGAUUGGCAUAAAUAUUCUUUGCUAUAAGAAAAAGAGUGGGAAAGAGAGAUUUAAUUAUCAAGACUAAAUUGCUGUCUCAGACUUCCAGUGCCUUACAAAUACUCAAAGAAGUCUCUUUAAUUAAAGUAAAAUUAUACUUUAUGUUCAUUUUUUCCUUUUUUUUUUUUUUUUUUUCUAUGUGUGCUUGUUUGUUUUUCCUGACAGGCUUAUUUCUUUUUCUGUGUACCUGCCAAGAGAAAAAAGUUUGUUAGAUGGUUUAUUUAAAAGUAAGCAAGCUUGAUUUUGAAUAAACUGUGAUGAAGUGGUU